rnacentral:rRNA from 1 species
UACGUAGGGGGCUAGCGUUGUCCGGAAUCAUUGGGCGUAAAGAGCGUGUAGGCGGCCCGGUAAGUCCGCUGUGAAAGUCGGGGGCUCAACCCUCGAGUGCCGGUGGAUACUGUCGGGCUAGAGUGCGGAAGAGGCGAGUGGAAUUCCUGGUGUAGCGGUGAAAUGCGCAGAUAUCAGGAGGAACACCAAUUGCGAAGGCAGCUCGCUGGGACGUAACUGACGCUGAGACGCGAAAGCGUGGGGAGCAAACAGG